ACUCAAAUGAAUAGACGGGGACCCGCACAAGCAGCGGAGCAUGUGGUUUAAUUCGAAGAUACGCGAAAAACCUUACCAAGACUUGACAUCCCUUGCAUAACCCCCAAAAGGGUGAACUCAUAGCAAUAUGACAAGGUGACAGUUGGUGCAUGGUUGUCGUCAGCUCGUGUCGUGAGAUGUUCUGUUAAGUCAGAUAACGAGCGCAACCCUUGUCGUCAGUUGCCAGCAUUAAGUUGGGCACUCUGGCGAGACUGCCGUGGUAACAUGGAGGAAGGAGGGGAUGAUGUCAAAUCAUCAUGCCACUUACGUCUUGGGCUACACACGUGCUACAAUGGUGGCUACAAAGAGCUGCAACCUGGUAACAGGAAGCGAAUCUCAAAAAAGCCAUCUCAAUUCGGAUUGUGGGCUGAAACUCGCCCACAUGAAGUCGGAGUUGCUAGUAAUCCCGAAUCAGCAUGUCGGGGUGAAUGCGUUCCCGGGUCUUGUACACACCGCCCGU
rnacentral:rRNA from 1 species